AGAGUUUGAUCCUGGCUCAGGAUGAACGCUAGCUACAGGCUUAACACAUGCAAGUCGAGGGGCAGCGGGAUUGAAGCUUGCUUCAAUUGCCGGCGGCCGGCGCACGGGUGAGUAACGCGUAUCCAACCUUCCGUACACUCAGGGAUAGCCUUUCGAAAGAAAGAUUAAUACCUGAUGGUAUGAUGAGAUUGCAUGAUAGCAUCAUUAAAGACUUAUCGGUGUACGAUGGGGAUGCGUUUCCAUUAGGUAGUAGGCGGGGUAACGGCCCACCUAGCCAACGAUGGAUAGGGGUUCUGAGAGGAAGGUCCCCCACAUUGGAACUGAGACACGGUCCAAACUCCUACGGGAGGCAGCAGUGAGGAAUAUUGGUCAAUGGACGAGAGUCUGAACCAGCCAAGUAGCGUGAAGGAUGAAGGUCCUACGGAUUGUAAACUUCUUUUAUAAGGGAAUAAACCCUCCCACGUGUGGGAGCUUGUAUGUACCUUAUGAAUAAGCAUCGGCUAACUCCGUGCCAGCAGCCGCGGUAAUACGGAGGAUGCGAGCGUUAUCCGGAUUUAUUGGGUUUAAAGGGGGCGCAGACGGGUCGUUAAGUCAGCUGUGAAAGUUUGGGGCUCAACCUUAAAAUUGCAGUUGAUACUGGCGUCCUUGAGUGCGGUUGAGGUGUGCGGAAUUCGUGGUGUAGCGGUGAAAUGCUUAGAUAUCACGAAGAACUCCGAUUGCGAAGGCAGCACACUAAUCCGUAACUGACGUUCAUGCUCGAAAGUGUGGGUAUCAAACAGGAUUAGAUACCCUGGUAGUCCACACGGUAAACGAUGGAUACUCGCUGUUGGCGAUACACUGUCAGCGGCUUAGCGAAAGCGUUAAGUAUCCCACCUGGGGAGUACGCCGGCAACGGUGAAACUC
rnacentral:rRNA from 1 species